rnacentral:lncRNA from 1 species
UCUGGAUAUGAUAACAAUAUGAUAGCAAUAUAAUAUGAGAAUAGAGGUGUGAGGCCUAGCUUUGGUUUGAUGCUGUAGCUCUUCAGUCCAAGUUCUGUUCUGGUUCUCUUCAGUCCAGGUUCUGUGGUGGUUUUCUUCAGUCCAGGUUCUGUGGUGGUUUUCUUCAGUCCAGGUUCUGUUUUGGUUCUCUUCAGUCCAGGUUCUGUGGUGGUUCUCUUCAGUCCAAGUUCUGUUUUGGUUCUCUUCAGUCCAGGUUCUGUGGUGGUUCUCUUCAGUCCAGGUUCUGUUUUGGUUCUCUUCAGUCCAGGUUCUGUGGUGGUUCUCUUCAGUCCAGGUUCUGUUUUAGUUAUCUUCAGUCCAGGCUCUGUGGUGGUUUUGUUCAGUCCAGGUUCUCUUCAGUUCUCAUAAUUGGAGGGUUGAGCGUCUCCCUGAGGGUCUGUAUCACUGGGGGAGUCCCUCACACU